UAGGGAAUAUUGGACAAUGGGUGAGAGCCUGAUCCAGCCAUGCCGCGUGCAGGAAGAAGGCGUUAUGCGUUGUAAACUGCUUUUUGCCAGGGGAUAAAAAGACCGUGCGCGGUUAAUUGAAGGUACCUGGUGAAUAAGCCACGGCUAACUACGUGCCAGCAGCCGCGGUAAUACGUAGGUGGCAAGCGUUGUCCGGAUUUAUUGGGUUUAAAGGGUGCGUAGGUGGCCCUGUAAGUCAGUGGUGAAAUAUCUCAGCUUAACUGAGAGGGUGCCAUUGAUACUGCAGGGCUUGAGUACAGAUGAGGUAGGCGGAAUUGACGGUGUAGCGGUGAAAUGCAUAGAUAUCGUCAAGAACACCGAUAGCGAAGGCAGCUUACCAAGCUGUAACUGACACUGAGGCACGAAAGUGUGGGGAUCGAAACAGGAUUAGAUACCCAUGUAGUCCCUGAGCGGGCUGGCAAGGCGCAU
rnacentral:rRNA from 1 species